rnacentral:antisense_RNA from 1 species
UUUGAGCGAACCCAACCACAGCGGCCGUCCCUCUGGCCGGUGCUGACCGUAUGUCGCCAUCAGCGCCUCGGCCUC